UCUCUACCUGCAUUUCAACAAUCAAAAAUGAAUCUCAGUUCACUUUCUUACUAGUUCAAUCUACGCAGCUUAAACUAACCUUUAAAGAUUGAAUCAGCUCAGCCUUGGGCUUUUUGACUGUCUAUACUUAGCCAGGCAGGUCAGGAGACCAAGUUCACUAAAGAACUAGGAUUUAGGCCCUCACCCUGGAUAGAACCAUCAGCCAAGUUUAGGAGGCAGGAGUCCAGGCUAGGGUCGCUAGCUAGGGGGUCUUGAGUAGGCUUCUAUAGCUGUAUGGGAUCAGGACAUGGGUCAAGGCUAAGCCAUAAGGCAGGAGCUGGCAAUCAGAGGACUGGACUAGAGUCUGGAGCACAAUGGACCAAUGGGGAGAAAUAAGGAAUAAGGAUGAUCCCAGGAAGCCAACAGGCCAGAUCCGGGAAACGGGAAACCAAAAACAAACGAGCAGGGCCUAGGACACAGGAACAAUCAGGCAGAACCCUGUGAUUGGGGAACUAGGAAUCAAAGAUGGGCACAAGGAGAGGAAGUGACUGGGUAUGAGGUCACCUGACAGGCCCGUGGCAUAGUCAAGAACAACACCCACAUCUUCAUCCAGUGCUCUGUCCUUUUGAUGAUGGCUCUCCAGG